AACUGAGGGUAAUAACGGAUAGAGGAUAGUCACUGGAAUGUGCAAUCCUUUAAAAGCAAUGCUUAAGGAUGAGUCGGCGGCGGAUUAGGUAGUUGGUGAGGUAAUGGCUCACCAAGCCGAAGAUCCGUAGAGGCCUUGAAAGAGGGAGCCUCGAGAAGGGCACUGAGAUACUGGCCCUAGCCCUACGGGGUGCAGCAGGCGCGAAACCUUUACAAUGCACGAAAGUGUGAUAAGGAAACCCAGAGUGCUUAGUUUACUAAGCUUUUGCCAAGGGCAAAUACCUUGGAGAAUAAGUGGUGGGCAAGACUGGUGCCAGCCGCCGCGGUAAUACCAGCUCCACGAGCAGGAACUACAAUUAUUGGGUCUAAAGCGUCUGUAGCCGGUUCGGUAAAUUUCUUGUGAAAUUGUUGCUUUCAACGUAACAAAGUGCAGGAAACACUGCCAAACUAGGGACUGGGAAGAGUUAGGAGUAUUUUCGGGGUAGCGGUAAAAUGUUAUAAUCCCGAAAGGACUACCUGUGGCGAAAGCGCCUAACUGGAACAGGUCCGACGGUGAGGGUCGAAAGCUAGGGGAGCAAAACGGAUUAGAUACCCGAGUAGUCCUAGCCAUAAACGCUGCGAGCAAGAUGUUGCGUAUUCUUCGUGAAUACGCAGUAUCGAAGAGAAGUCGUUAAGCUCGCCACCUGGGAAGUAUGGUCGCAAGACUGAAACUUAA
rnacentral:rRNA from 1 species